rnacentral:rRNA from 1 species
AAGUCCCUGAAGGGCCGUAGAAGACCACUACGUUGAUAGGUUGGGUGUGGAAGUGCAGUAAUGUAUGAAGCUAACCAAUACUAAUUGCCCGUGAGGCUUGACCAUAUAACCCCAAGUAAGUUGGG